AAGCGGUGGAGGAUGUGGCUUAAUUCGAGGCUACGCGAAGAACCUUAUCCUAGUCUUGACAUGCACGGAUCAACCCGGUGAAAGCCGGGCCACGCCUUCGGGUGGAACGUGCACAGGUGCUGCAUGGCUGUCGUCAGCUCGUGUCGUGAGAUGUCGGGUUAAGUCCCUUAACGAGCGAAACCCUUGUCGCUAGUUGCCAGCGAGUCAUGUCGGGGACUCUAGCGAGACCGCCGGUGUUAAACCGGAGGAAGGUGGGGAUG
rnacentral:rRNA from 1 species